rnacentral:rRNA from 1 species
AUUGAACGCUGGCGGCAGGCCUAACACAUGCAAGUCGAGCGGAUGAGAGGAGCUUGCUUCUCGAUUCAGUGGCGGACGGGUGAGUAAUGCCUAGGAAUCUGCCUGGUAGUGGGGGACAACGUUUCGAAAGGAACGCUAAUACCGCAUACGUCCUACGGGAGAAAGCAGGGGACCUUCGGGCCUUGCGCUAUCAGAUGAGCCUAGGUCGGAUUAGCGAGUUGGUGAGGUAAUGGCGCACCAAGGCGACGAUCCGUAACUGGGUUGAGAGGAUGUUCAGUCACACUGGAACUGAGACACGGUCCAGACUCCUACGGGAGGCAGCAGUGGGGAAUAUUGGACAAUGGGCGAAAGCCUGAUCCAGCCAUGCCGCGUGUGUGAAGAAGGUCUUCGGAUUGUAAAGCACUUUAAGUUGGGAGGAAGGGUUGUAGAUUAAUACUCUGCAAUUUUGACGUUACCGACAGAAUAAGCACCGGCUAACUCUGUGCCAGCCGCCGCCGUAAAAC